GACGAACGCUGGCGGCGUGCCUAAUACAUGCAAGUCGAACGCAGUGGGGACGGGUGAGUAACACGUGGGUAACCUCCCAUCAGAGGGGAUAACACUUGGAAACAGGUGCUAAACCGAUACUGAUGGAUGGACCCGCGGUGCAUUAGCUAGUUGGUGAGGUAACGGCUCACCAAGGCCACGAUGCAUAGCCGAGCGGAGAGGGUGGUCGGCCACACUGGGACUGAGACACGGCCCCGAGUCCUACGGGAGGCAGCAGUGGGGGAUCUUCGGCAAUGGACGGAAGUCUGACCAGGCAACGCCGCGUGAGAGAAGAAGGUUUUCGGGGCGUAAAACUCUGUUGUUAGAGGAGCGGUAUCUAACCAGAAAGCCACGGCUAACAACGUGCCAGCACCGCCGGUAAUUC
rnacentral:rRNA from 1 species